AAACAGGGACACCCGCGGGGACACGCCGGUGCUUGUCCGCCCUCCUGGGACUCGGGGAUGGAGCCCACCUUAGUACCCACCCCGCCCUACUCGCUUGGCACCGGGCGCGGGAGGGACAAGCUCUGGUUUGGAGGGAGGAUGCUGCAGCCUUGGGUCUGGAGGAGAUUACACAGGAAGAGUGGUCUGUGAAGAAAGAGACUGAGAAGGAGCAUCCAGAGAGGAAGGAGGAAGACCAGGACAAAGGGAUCAUAAAAACCAACAGGGUUACAACGUGGUUGCAGCUGUUCCAGUCUCACAUGUGGAGUUGGUAUUAAAGAAGAACAAAAUCUUUCUAAAGAGCCCCUUACAGUCCUAUUGGCUAGGGGAAUGGAAAUACUAUGAUUGGUUAGACCAAUGAGAUUCAUCCCCUGAACUCAUGGGAGGGAACACCUGUACAAAAUCCAGGCUUUGCCUGCAAGGGAGAAAGGCUUGCUGUUGAGUAGGUACCACCAGUGUUUGCCCUCAUAGUCAUAUAUAUUCCUCUUCCUUUAUAAAGACCAGCUAUUUCACCUUCCAUUGAGAAAAUGUGUAGCAUGCAGCUUAGGGGCAACAGUGAUUAUGUUAGAGUAACUGGAUUCAAAUCCCGGUUUACUUGCCAGCUCUUUGGCCUUGGGUGGGUUACUUAAACUUUUCAUACUGCAGUCUACUCAUCUAUAAAAUGAGGACUAUCAACACACUAUGCAAUGGAACUUUCUGUGAAGAUGGAAAUGUCCUGUAUCUGCACUAAUAUAGUAGCCAUUAGCCAUAUGUGACUAUUGAUCAUUUGAAAUGUGGCUAGUGCAUCUGAGAAAUUGAAUUUUUAAAUUAAAAUUAAAUACCCAUAUAUGGUUAGUGGCUACCAUGUUGGGCAUAUAGUUCUAUCUCAUAGUAUUGUAGGAGAAAAUGUACAGAACCUGGAUGUUUUUAAAGUAGGAAUUGAAGUAAUACAUAAAGCCUCACUAAAUCUUUCUUAUUAUUUUUGCUGUCACCCACUGACAUCCGGGCCACUUUCCCACAACCCUUGAGGGUUUUGGCAUCGGACUCACUGUUUUCCUGUCUGCCUUCAGGUCUUUUGCAAAGCCAGAUAGCUUCAGUGUCAUUCAGGUAGUCCAGCAGCCCCUUGGCCUCUUGGUUUCUUGCCUUUCUCAACUCUAAUGACUCACUUCCACGUUGCCAUAGCCACUCACUCCAGUAGCCACAGCCUGCACCUCCCAGGAGAACUGGACUGAAAUCUCAGCCCUUGUCUCUGACCACAGCAUUCCAGCCCUCGAGCUCUUUCUCUCUUGCUCCCAGGCAGGCUGGUCUUUAGGUCUAUUGAGACUUUCAGUUCCUUCACUCUGUUCUUUCCUUACCCACUGGCUCCUCAUAUCUUUACUUCUCUGUAAACCAGCCUCAAUUCCACACUGCUUCUCCUUUACUCCUCCACUGAAUGGUCUCCUCCUCCAUCUGAACUGUUCUCUUGGCUUCAGACUUAUACCUUAAAUUCUUCCUCUAAAUUACAACUAGGGUGGUCUCUCUACUAAAUCUCGUGAUAUUACUCACCAGCCCCAAAUCUUCUAGUGCUCCCAUUGCCAACUACUACCCAUUUCCAGAAGCUACCAUAAUCCCAUAGGAUACAUACUUUUGCAUAUACUAAAUCCUCUUCCUAGUUUAGCUCUUCUCUUGUUCUCUUUGCCUAAAUAGUUCCUAUUUUUCCUUCAAGAUUUAGUUUGGGCAUCAUCUCCUCCAGGAAGACCUCCCUGGUCUCCCCUAUCUUUUACCUAGUCUACAUGCCUCUUCUAUGUACUCCCAUGGUACCCUGUGCUUCACUGGAGCCAUAGCCCCAAUUAUCCUGUAGUAUCAUUUUUUUGUUGUUGUUGUUAACUAAUCAGGCUUCCCCUCUCAGCUGUAAGAGCCUAAAAGCAGACACCCAACACAUUUUUGUGGAAUUAACUGGACACAGAUUCUGGGCAGAUUGGUUUUGUUUGACAUCAGCUUGACUUCACUUUUUUAAAGGUGGGAGAGAUUUGAACAUGUUUAAAUGCUGAGGUUUAAGAGCUGUAGUAAUUAGAAAUGAGAGGUUGCAGAUCUGGGGGAUCAAGGGCAUAAUAAAUGCAACAGUGCCUGGGGAAGCAGAAGGGAGGGGCCCUGAGCACAGGUGGAGGAACAAACCGUGGGUAGGGGCAGAGACACAGACUUCCUCUCCUCUGAGCCUGAGGGGGAGGACACAGGUGUGGAUGAAUGUGUCUGUUGGUAGGGAGCAGGAAACUAGAAGUUUACUAGAAGUAAACUGGGGAGUUUACAACUGAGAGCCUCUUUUCCCUCUAAUUCAGGUGGUGGGUGGAUUGGUGUCAAGAUGGAUGGAAAUUUUGGGACAAUGGCAAAGGUCUGAGAGACAAAACUGGCUAGGGCCCACAGCUUCUUCCCACACUUCUGUGACCUUUCCCUUCUAUCCCUCAACCCUCCACAAAUCCCAGCACACUGCCUAGUGCUCCUGAGCGUGGCCCACUCAUCUUGUCUCUUGAAUGUGAAAUGCAUUGAGCUCCUGCCAUCAGUGGAUCUCUAAAUUUAGUGUAUGUGAAACAUUUAGCCAAGCCCUGGCUUGUGUGUCUCAGUGGAUUGAGUGCUGGCCUGUGAACCAAAAGGUCACCAGUUUGAUUCCCAAUUGGGGCACAUGCCUAGGUUUUGGACCAGGUCCCUGGUUGAGGGGCCUGUGUGAGACAAUUGACAGUGUGUCUCUCAUAUUGAUGUUUCUCUUCCUCUCUUUCU